UUCGUGCCAGUGGAGGUGGCAGCUGCGGAGUAAAGCAAUUUGGAUGACAAAGCAGGCGUGAGGCAGAGGAGAAUUGCCAUGGGACUCAGUUAGUUGGCAGAGCGCUUGCCUAGUUUCCGAUCCCAGCCCCAGACUCAAGCAGGCAUGGUGGGACUGGCCAGUGAUCCCAGAACUCAGGAGGUGGAGGCAGGAUGAUCAGAAGUUAAAAUUCAUCUUUGGCAGUGAGUUCAAGGCCAGCCCGGGCUAUAUGAGACCCUGUCUCAGAUGAAAACAAAAAGCAGAUUACGUAAUAGUUUUGACCAUUUGUCUCUCUUAGCUCAUGGAUGUGGAUGUAGGAACUGCUUAUAUGAGUAAGCUGUGUCAUUCACGAACUAAGUUCACCUGCACUGUUCCUUGUGGCCCUCGGCGACAGACUCCAGACAUAAACAAACUAGAUGCAGGACUCUCAGCUCCUUCUCCAGCACCAUGUCUGCCUGCGUGCUGCCAUGUCCCGCCAUGAUGAUAAUGGACCAAACCUCUGAACUCUUACCUGAGUUUGACUAGAAGGAAGAAGAAGCUCCAGAUGACAGUGCGAAGGCUUACUGGCAUUCUCCUGCAGGUGAGAGGUAAACUCUGUUUGCCAUUAGCAGAACAUUUGAUACCAAGCAGGAUGUCCCAGCACUGUGACUCAG